ACCCUUGUAGCGUAGACGUAGGUGGCGGGGUUUUGUUUCGGCGGUUGUCUAGCUCAGUGCGCUGCCUCCGUAACGCCUACAGGAGGGGUUUGAAUGCCGUAGCGCUGGGGAGGCAAAGAGAAGGUGGCGAUGGAUGGUUUCAAAGCUGUUUUUAACCAAACUGGUGCUUUUUGUGCUGUGCCCAAGCACCUUACUCGUUGGAAUGCUGCCUUGCUGAGCCCUUUCUCUGUGCUGUGAGCUAUGGGAUGCAGCCCUGGCUUCUCCAGCCACCACGCACCCUGAAGGCUGUGGGGAUGCAGCCAAAAGCCAGCUGAGAGGCUGCUGUCCUUGAUGUGAGAGCAGUUUCUAUUCUGCUAGGCUCAGUUAAGCACGCUUGCUAUGCUGCGAGGACACAACACCUCAGGCCUUCAGCUGGCUCUGCCUAUAUUGCGGCUGGGAGGCAGCUCUUCCAUCCAUUGCCUUUGGGCUGCAGGGAAUGAGGAAGCAGCAAAGUAAAAUGCAGACCAUGAAAUCAUGAAGGUUGGAAAAGACCUCUAAGAUCACCCAGUCCAACCGUUAGCCCACCCCCACCAUGCCCACUGACCACGUCCCUCAGUGCCACAUCCACACGGCUCUUCAACACCUCCAGGGAUGGUGACUGCACCAUCUCCCUGGGCAGCCUGCUCACCACUCUUUCAGAGAAGAAAUUCUUCCUAAUACUGAACCUGAGCCUGGUGCAACUUGAGGCCAUUUCCUCUCAUCACAGUUACCAGGGAGAAGAGGCUGUCUCCCACCUUGCCACAGCCUCUUUUCAGGUGGUUGUAGAGAACAGUGAGGUCUCCUCCAAUAUCCUCUUCUCCAGACUGAACAAUCCCAGCUCCCUCAGCCGCUCCCUGUUAUGAUUUGUGCUACAGACUUUUAAUCAGCUUUGUUGCAUUCUCUGUCUAUGAUGCAUUGGUACUCAGGUACUUGCCCCCUCCUUUAUGUGAGUAGAAAGAGAUUUCCUUCAGCCUGGCUGUUUCCAGUGGCUCCAGAGAAUGCUUCAUUGCAGCUGCCUCUCAGAGAGAAGAGUUUGUGACACAUCUGGCACUUGUCCAUCCCAUUCUUAGCUUACUUGGCAUCCAUCUCAGCUCUGAUAUGCUGAGGAAUAAUGUGACUGCCCACCAGGAAGCAAGGGUUACGUUUAAAGGCUGCUACUAUUUAUCUGUCAGGCAUUAAUAUUCAUUUUUGCUCAACGCUUGUUAGUACCAAGGCAGUCCUUGAGCUACAGGACUCCAGAGUGAUUUACAUAGGCAUCAGUUACUCAAUCUCUUUCUGAGGGCGCUCAAGCACAAUGAAAAAAAGUAUUUGGUUGAAGCUGAUUUAAAAUGCACUACUGACAUGGCCAACAGAACAAACUCAUCUGAGUACUUCUGGUCUUAUGAAUAUUAUUGGGAUUACAUAGAUCCAAUUCCGGUAGAUGGAAGGAAGUUGAAAGUUAAUAAAUAUUCUAUUGUCAUAGCCUUUUGGGUUGGACUUGCUGCCUUUGUGAUGUUUCUUUUCCUUAUUUUGCUCUACAUGUCCCGCUCUGGAUCAAAUCCAGUAAAACAGGUGGUCGUAAGGAACCGGGUAGAAGAAAGCAGUUCCAACAGUGAGCAGCCUCACGGUGACAAUGUCAGCAGUCCAUUCCCAGAUCCGGUUGCUCCCGGAACACCCAGCUGCCUUCCAGAUCACAGUGGCAUUCAUGGAAGUAUUUCAGCCUGAAUUAAAACCAGAAGAGGUGAAACAGAAGCAGCAGGGCAGUCCACCUGGCUGUGGAAACAAUUAGUACAUUAGACUGCAGCUGAAUUAGUUCAGGAAAAGAACAGCGAAGACCAAACCUGACAAAUCCUGGGUGCCUAAAAUGAAGAACUACCUGCCGUAUUUGAGCAGCAUUGCUGGAGUUGCCUGAUCAGGAGAACAUUUUAGAUUGUGAUGAUGAUGACUGCAAAAUAUCUCUCUUUCUCAGUAAAGAUUCAGACUCUUCUCUCAGUUACGUCAUGUGAAGCAUUUGCUGCCUGUUGAGUAAUUCUCACUAACAGGCACUUGGCUCAGAGUAGACCUACUCCUCCAGCAGAAAGCAUGUACCAGUUACUCCUCAUGUUCUCUGAAGCACACUGAGUAUUUUCAGAGGUACCUCUGCAGAAGCAAUUUUCCCUGAGUUUUCUUGCUGUGAAAGAAAGCAGCAUCACAUAGAUUGGGCAGCAUAAACAAUAAUGUUUAGACAUUGUGAGAGCUGCAGUGACACAUCUAUUUCUAUCUUUAUCCUCAGAUCACAAUCUCAUCAGCAGCAUCUUAGUGACAUCUCCAUUUGGUCAUCCUCUCAAAAGUAAGCAACAAUGGCAAGUAUAGCAUCAGCAAUAAAGCUUUGCUUUUGGAAGGGUUACAACUUGCUUCACUGAUUUAAAGCUCAGCAAUUCCUUCAGGGAUAGAAUUUUAUUCUAUUUUUUUGCAAAAGGAAAGUAAAUAUUUGGUUUACUUACAAAUCAUUAACACUGCUUUGCCAGAACAGCCUUUAAAAAAGCUACUGGCAACACUAAAUAUCUCAAGUGAGCGUGUCUUACUGAAUAAACUCAUUAGCUUUACCCACUGUCCAGAAAUAGUUUUGCCACAAAUAGCCAAUCACCUUUUGCUUCCAUUUUGAAAUGGUAAGUGGAGAAGAAAUGUGAAGACUGAACAGAUUUGAAAAGGUACCUGUGAGUUACUCCGACUUUAGAAGAAGUGUGUUUAUCGUGUUUUAUACCAAAGGAAAAUGCUGGCAAAACCACAAAAGCAAUAACAUAUUUCUGCAUAAGCUGCUUGCUUUCAGCUGGGGCUGAAAAAUGUUUUAACAGAAUCUAGAGCCCUCUGUGAGGGCCAGAGAAGCUUUUCCAUGAGGUGGAGAGGACAAGUUUAGCAGUGCUGGAGCAGAGGAGGAAGGGUUACUCACACUCCCAACCCUUCAGCUCCCUCCACCUUUCCUUGGCCCUGGAGUGCCAAGAAAGCCGAGCAGAACCAGAUAGAGGUCCAAGAGAGUGUGAGAAACCCGUAGAGCUACAUUAACUGUGUGACCAGGAUUGCAGAGUCAGGGAGGCAGUGAUAAUUGGAGUAGAAAAAGGACCCCAUAACUAAUUGCUUGUCUGAGGACAACGCAGAAUUCAUUUGAAACCUGAAGAAAAAAAUAGCAAUUCCACCUCACCAAGGAGGCAGCAGAAACUCCUGCAGUGAACCACUGGCAGAGCAGCUCUAUCCUGCGUAUGGGGGAUGUGGGUAUGUUGGGGUGUGUUAACAAAGCCUUAAACCCAAGAGACAGAUUAAACCACAAAGUAUGUAUUUGUAGUUGUAUUGUUUUUUAAAACUCCAUUUUCAUAAAUCUCUGAGAUAAA